AUUGAACGCUGGCGGCAUGCUUUACACAUGCAAGUCGAACGGUAACAGGCCUUCGGGUGCUGCCGAGUGGCGAACGGGUGAGUAAUGCAUCGGAACGUGCCCAGAGGUGGGGGAUAACGCAGCGAAAGCUGUGCUAAUACCGCAUGUGAUCUGAGGAUGAAAGCGGGGGACCAAGCAGCAAUGUUUGGCCUCGCGCCUCUGGAGCGGCCGAUGUCAGAUUAGGUAGUUGGUGGGGUAAAGGCCUACCAAGCCGACGAUCUGUAGCUGGUCUGAGAGGAUGACCAGCCACACUGGAACUGAGACACGGCCCAGACUCCUACGGGAGGCAGCAGUGGGGAAUUUUGGACAAUGGGCGCAAGCCUGAUCCAGCAAUGCCGCGUGCGGGAAGAAGGCCUUCGGGUUGUAAAACGCUUUUGUAAGGAACGAAAAGGCUCUGGCUAAUACCUGGGGCUGAUGACGGUACCGUAAGAAUAAGCACCGGCUAACUACGUG
rnacentral:rRNA from 1 species